GUUUUUUUUGCAAUAUGACACCUCCCUUUCACGGAGGUAACAUGGGUUCGAAUCCCAUACGAGUCACCA
rnacentral:tRNA from 1 species